rnacentral:lncRNA from 1 species
GGUUUUGUGGUCCCGAAACCACUUUCUGACUAGGGUCAAAUUGGGGAUGUCACAUCAACAGCAUCCUUUACCCACAAUAAUGCCCUCAUUUCGGAAUGGAAAAUCAAGGUAUCCAUUGACAACACUUUAUUAUCAAAAACCAUCUCAUUCCUUGCUAACCAAAUCGACCAACAAGAAGCUGCAAUUGCAAUCAACCACAGACCUUUACAAGAGCCAAUAAUCUUCACCUUGAAACAUAACGAAUAAAAUUCUUCAAAGUUACUUACUGCUAUCCAGCCAACGUCCGACCAGUUGAAGAUUCUCUUCCGAAACCCUGCAAUAAAAUAGCAAUUAAAAAACACAUGAUCCGCCCUCUCCAGCUCCUAUUACACCACAGACACACAUUCAAAAUGUCAUGAAUUUUCACCCCCCCUUUUAAUUAAAAAAUCCUUUGUAGGAACUCUGUCAAUGGCUAAUAGCCAAAGAAAAUUACGCACCCUUGGAGGAACUUUUAACUUUCGUAUUUUAUCGAAAGAAAAGACUGGAUCAUCCCCCUCACCUUCAAUCAGUAAUUUAGAUAAUUGCUUUACUGAAAACUCACCCUUAUUGUCGUGAUCCCAUAAAAUCCAAUCCUCCACCUCUGGGACCAGGACCACACAACUCACACUAUCAAUGAGACGAAAAAGGAUCCCCACUUCUCGAUCCAGUAGAGGUCUGAUGAAAAGUUAUUCCUAAUUAACAUUGCUAAACCCACAAUUAGACGAAUAAUCAAACACCGAAGCAUUUUUUAGUUUAGCUAAACGAAAGAGCCUAGGAAAUUCCAACUUUAAUGGGUCCUUACCACACCAUUUAUCCUCCCAAAACAAUGUUGCCUUUCCAUUCCCUAUCUUCCAGCUAAAAUAUUUAUCCCCUACCCAUCAAACCAUUCUAGCAUCCAACGAAUUCUCAACUAUCCCUCUCCAAACCUUCGACAUAUCUUUUAAUUUGUUCAUACUAAAUCUCCAUCGUUCCAUAUUAGACCCAUACUUAGCUGAGAUCACUUUGUUCUACAACGUUUUUUAUCAACCAAAAAAUGCCAUCUCCAUUUUUCUAAGAGAGCUUUGUUUUUUAUCCCAAGAUUAACCACUCCGGCUCCCCCUUUUUCUUUUGGGCAACAUAUCUGUUUCCAACUUACUUUCACCAUUUUCCAUUUUCCAUCAACCCCACCCCAUAGAAAGUUUCUUCUAAUUUUGUCUAUUCUUCUAAUUAUAGAUUCCGGAGCCUGAAAUAAGGACAUAAAGCAAAUUGGCAGAUUUGAUAAUACUGAAUUUAUCAACAUGAUUCUAGUAGCCCAUGACAUCGAUGGACUUUCUAAAACUCUCAGUUACAACCUCCCAAGUAGCCGCCCUCAUCGGAUCCGCUCCUAAAGGAAUACCUUGAUAAUUUAUAGGCAAUACCCCAAUCUUAUAUUUGCAUAUAGAUGCCAUACCAUAGAGAAAUUCCUUAUUCACAUCAAACCCCACAAUAAAAGAUCUUUUGAAAUUUAUACUUAAUCUCGAAAAAAUCUGAAAACACCAUAUAAUAAAUUUCAUAUUUUCCACCCCCUGUUCCUCUGCUUUUAAAAACAAAAUAGUAUCGUUUGCAAAUUGUAAAUACGUGAUCAUCUGACCUGGAAUAACCCCAUGAAUACCUUCUAUUAAACCCAAUGCCCUAACCUUUUCCAGUAACAAGUGAAGCACUUCCGUUACAAGAAUGGACAUGAAUGGAGAUAAGGGAUCACCUUGUCGCAACCCUCUACCUAAAUAAAAUUCGUUUGUAGCCGAACCAUUAACAAGGACAGUCGCUCUCGCCGUAAAAACACAUUCCAUUGACCAUCCAAUCCAUCUGACCCAAAAUCCCAUCUUUUGUAAAACUAAUUCUAAAAAAUCUCAUCAGACACAAUCGUAUGCCUUAGAGAAGUCUAGUUUAAAAAUCAAAUUUCCCCCAUUUCCCACUAUUUUAUCCAUCGAAUGAAUCACUUCAAUAGCAAUGAGAAUACCAUAAAAAAUUUGCCUUCCUCUAAUAAACGCACAUUGAGUCUCACUCACCAAUUCACCAAUAACCUCCCUUAACCUUUGAGAUAGAACUUUAGCAACUAUUUUAUACAGAGAACUAACCAGACAAAUUGGCUGAAAAUCAGCUAUCUCAUUCAAAUUAUCCAUUUUAGGAAUUAAUGCAAUAAACGAGCAAUUGAUGGAUCUUUCUAGCUUUCCAGUUCUAUGAAAAUCUGACAUCAUUCUAAACACAUCAUCUUUUACUGUAUUCCAGCAUUUUCUGAAAAAACACAUAUUAAACCCAUCUGGUCUAGGAGCUUUGGACUCCUCACAACUCCAUAUAGCAUCUCGAAUUUCCUCUAUUGAAAAGGAACCUCUAGUUUUUUUAGCUUUACUCUCCUUUAAUCUCUUAAAUUCUAACUCCAUUUCCAUCUUCCAACUCCUCUCAUAACCACGAAAAUGAUUUUAAAAAAAAUCAUACACUCUCUUUUUUAAUUCCUUUGGAUCAUUACACCAAGACCUCCCAAUUUUCAUUCUGUAAAUGGUUUUUCUUUUUGCUUUUGUCUUUACAGCUCAAUAGAAAAAAGAUGUAUUCGCAUCUCCUUCUUUCAACCAUAUCAUUCUUGAUUUUUUCACCAUAAUGAUUCUUUGAAUUUCAUUGCAUCCCAAACCUCCACAUUCAAUCUUUUUAGCUCCUCUAUUUCACCUUCAUUUAACACUUCUAAUCACUAAUUCCAUCUAACACCUUAAUCCUAUCUUCGCAUUCAACAAUUUUGUUUUCCAAUACAUUGCAGUUAUCCCUAUUCCAUUUCUUCAAUACCCCCUUUAAUUUUCUCAACUUCCUUGUUAAUUGCCCAUUCAAACUUCCCAUAUUAGACCAUUCUUUCUCUAUCAAGCCCGCACAUUCCUUUUUCUUAAACCACUCGUUUAUGAAUUUAAAUGGCCUAGGUCCCCAAUCAAUUUCAACAUCAGCUAGCAAAAUUGGAAUAUGAUCAGAAACUGAUCUCUUUAACCGCAGCUGCUGAAGAUCCUUAAUCUGAAUCAACCAAUGUUCUUCCACCAAGAAUCUGUCAAGCCUGUUUUUUUUUUUUGUUAUCAGGUCCAUACCAAGUAAAUUUCUUUCCCACCAAUGGCAAGUCGAUAAGCUUACAAGUUUGGAUAAAAAUAUCAAAUCCUCUAGACCCCUUCGCUGAACCCACACACCUGCUUCUUUCACUUCUGCACCGCACCACGUUAAAAUCUCCUCCCAUAAUCUAAGGACUUGCAAACUGAAUUCUCAACUCAGUUAAUACUCCCUAUAAAAUACUCUGCUCAGACACUAAGUUGGGAGCAUAAACAUUUAUUAACACCACUUCUAAAUCCUCCUUAACCCAUCUACCUUUAAUAACUAACAAUCUGCCAUCGCUCCAUUCUUUUAAAAGUAAUAAUUCAUCUUUAUUCCACAUAGUCAGCAAACCACCCGAUCUACCUCCAGCUGCUAUAAACCUAAACUCACAAUUAUCAUCCCCCAUAAUUUUCUUACAACGUCCAUAAUAACCAACACAAGUUUAGUUUCCUGUAAAAAGAAAACAUUCGCUCUAGCAAGUCUGCAAAGUCUUUUUACAGAGGCCUUUUUUACCUCCGAUCCUAAUCCCCUAAUAUUCCAAGAAAGUAUUCUCAUACCCCCUAAAACAAAGUAGGCUACACAAUAAGAAACCAAAACAGAAAUUCCAUUCAAGAAUAACUCACCCGCAUUCUGUUUCUAACACCCCUGAUUCCAUCAACCUUACCUCUAUUGGCCCUCUAAUCUCCCUAUUUCUUCAAUCACCUCUUCCUCGUCACCUCUCACACAUAGACCCAACUUCUUCCCUACUUCCCAAGUUCUUUUUGCCUCCCUUAAAAUGACCCUCCUUCAAUUGUUAAUAUUUGAAUCAGAUAGCGAUAAAUUGACUGUUGAAUCUUCACAUCUUGCUACCGCUUUCCCCUUCUCUAACUUCUCCUUUCUAUCCCUAUUUUGUUUCUCCUUUGUCAACAAUACUCUAUUUUGAAUUUCACGCAUCGACCUAAUUUUUUUUCAAAGACAUUUUCUUUCUCCUAUUUUGACUAAGUUGAACAAAUUCCUCCCCAAAAUUGAAACCGAUUACCUCAUUUUCCACACACCUAUCCCCCGAUCCAUUGCCCCCUUCAUCAGACUCAACUAGGCUACUACCACUUCUUAAAGUCAGCCUAUUUUCACCUAAAGAGCUA